GACGAGGUGGCCGAGUGGUUAAGGCGAUGGACUGCUAAUCCAUUGUGCUCUGGUUAAAACGCGUGGGUUCGAAUCCCAUCCUCGUCG